rnacentral:rRNA from 1 species
UACGGAGGAUGCGAGCGUUAUCCGGAUUUACUGGGUUUAAAGGGUGCGUAGGCGGGUUAAUAAGUCAGUGGUGAAAGUCUGUCGCUUAACGACAGGAUUGCCAUUGAUACUGUUAAUCUUGAGUACAAUUGAGGCAGGCGGAAUGUGCAGUGUAGCGGUGAAAUGCUUAGAUAUUGCACAGAACACCGAUUCCGAAGGGAGCUUGCUAAGUUGUAACUGACGCUGAGGCACGAAAGCGUGGGGAUCAAACAGGAUUAGAUACCCUGGUAGUCCACGCCGUAAACUAUGAUCACUCGUUGUUGGCGAUAUACCGUCAGUGGCUGAGCGAAAGCAUUAAGUGAUCCACCUGGGGAGUACGACGGCAACGUUGAA